UACGUAGGUGGCAAGCGUUGUCCGGAAUGACUGGGCGUAAAGGGCGUGUAGGUGGAUUGAUCAGUCGGAUGUGAAAUACCUGGGCUUAACCUGGGAACUGCAUUCGAUACGGUCAGUCUUGAGUGCAGGAGAGGGCAGUGGAAUUCCCAGUGUAGCGGUGAAAUGCGUAGAGAUUGGGAGGAACACCAGUGGCGAAGGCGGCUGCCUGGACUGUAACUGACACUGAGGCGCGAAAGCGUGGGGAGCAAACAGG
rnacentral:rRNA from 1 species